GUGGGGAAUAUUGGACAAUGGGUGGAACCCUGAUCCAGCCAUGCCGCGUGUGUGAAGAAGGCCUUUUGGUUGUAAAGCACUUUAAGUGGGGAGGAGGCUUACCUGGUUAAUACCUGGGCUAAGUGGACGUUACCCACAGAAUAAGCACCGGCUAACUCUGUGCCAGCAGCCGCGGUAAUACAGAGGGUGCGAGCGUUAAUCGGAUUUACUGGGCGUAAAGCGCGCGUAGGUGGUUAAUUAAGUCAAAUGUGAAAUCCCCGAGCUUAACUUGGGAAUUGCAUUCGAUACUGGUUGGCUAGAGUAUGGGAGAGGAUGGUAGAAUUCCAGGUGUAGCGGUGAAAUGCGUAGAGAUCUGGAGGAAUACCGAUGGCGAAGGCAGCCAUCUGGCCUAAUACUGACACUGAGGUGCGAAAGCAUGGGGAGCAAACAGGAUUAGAUACCCGGGUAGUCC
rnacentral:rRNA from 1 species